rnacentral:lncRNA from 1 species
AUUUUUCCCUUCCCUCACUCUUUCGUUCCCUAUAUAUAUUCUCAUUUCUUUUUUAUUAUUUACACUAUAAUAAUAAAGCCCUGCCCCGCUUUAAGUGUUUUAACCCUUGAUCACCGAUACCCUGUCCAAGUGACGUAGGGCCCCGUAACGUAUGUCAAGGCUCUGCCUAAAUUCGUUGGGGUUCUGUCUCGUGACGUAGGGAUAAAGUGGAAUUGGGUUAUUAUACUUAAUGUGAGUGCACUAUAUAUUUUAGUAAAUAACCCAGAAGUGAUACCCGAAAUAUAGCAACCCUCCUAAAACACCCCUGACACCCUACACUUUCUAAAAUACACCUCGUAUGUGAAAACCAAGCCCGAAAUACAAUAUAUAAAUUAAAAACAAGAAAUAGUAAGUUGAGGCGGGCCGCGUAGACCCACCCCAACCAUUCACGCGGGCCGUAUGAAGGUGUAACCGGAUUCCUUUGAUUUCUUAAGUUCAAGCGGGCCGCGUAAGGUUCCCUUAACAUUAACGCGGGCCGCGAGAGGUUAAAAAGGUGGCGCAGCCCGAUGCGCCCACGUGGCCCAACACCCGGCUAAGCUAGUUGUCGACUCAGCACAGCUACGCGUUGACCCAGCUUUGACGCGGGCCACGUAAGCUUUGUGCUUAUACUACGCGGGCCGCGAGAGACCCCGAUUCAGGCACUAUAUAAAGGAGGCAUCGGCUAUCCAUUUCAAUUCGUUCAUUCUUCGAUUCUUUCUCUCAAAUUCUGAUAUAAGGCUUUAUUAAGCGGGUAUUAUACCCCCCUAAUUAGCGAAGCUCUGCCUCGUUAUUAUAACCAGGGAAUCACAAAGAAAAGCCCUAUAAUAGCAAUGUGAGUAAUCCUCUUUUUGUUAAAUGUUUUUACAAAACCUUACAUACUUUUCCAUGCGAAUAACAGUUAUUGAGUAUUUGUAACUUAGUGUGAAGCCAAUUGAAGCCAGCUGGAGAGCACUGAAGGCUUGGAAAAGUGGCAAUAAAGUUACCUAAAAUAACAUAGAUCUUUUUAUUAAAUAAUAUAGGAUUUAGUCCUAUGAAAAAGUGUGUACUGCAAACUUGGGGUUUUAUUCCAUGUCUUUAAUAUUAUGAAAAUAUGGUGGUUUUACU